rnacentral:tRNA from 1 species
GGCCUUGUCGUCUAAUGGUUAGGACACCAGGUUUUCAUCCUGGCAAUCGGGGUUCGAUUCCCCGUGAGGUCACCA